GAUGAAGAACGUAGCGAAAUGCGAUAAGUAAUGUGAAUUGCAGAAUCCAGUGAAUCAUCGAAUCUUUGAACGCACAUUGCGCCCGCCAGUAUUCUGGCGGGCAUGCCUGUUCGAGCGUCAUUUCAACCAUCAAGCCCCCGGCUUGUGUUGGGGACCUGCGGCUGCCGCAGGCCCUGAAAACCAGUGGCGGGCUCGCUAGUCACUCCGAGCGUAGUAAUACAUCUCGCUCAGGGCGUGCUGCGGGUUCCGGCCGUUAAAAAAGCCUUAUUUACCCAAGGUUGACCUCGGAUCAGGUAGGAAGACCCGCUGAACUUAAGCAUAUCAAUAAGCGGAGGA
rnacentral:misc_RNA from 1 species